rnacentral:lncRNA from 1 species
CGCCGGCGCGUGGUCUGACGCGCCGACAGCUGCGGCGGCGCGUGUGGAGGUAUCUGCCGGAGAAAUUUCUGGGGUUUGGUUGGAAUUAUAUUCCGAGUCUUGUGGUGGUGUUGGUUUUUGCACAACACUGAUAAUUAGUGACUUUGACGCAAUUAGUCAUUUAGGUCACCGGAAAAUUGCACGGUGACCGAGUUAUUUCUUCCCGGAUGUCGUUGGAAUGACGCACAACGAUAAUUAUCUCACCAAAGCUCUGAUACCANNN